UGGUGGAGUGAUUUGUCUGGUUAAUUCCGUUAACGAACGAGACCUCCGCCUGCUAAAUAGUUCCAUUAUUCCUUGCGAAUGGUGGGCACUUCUUAGAGGGACAAUUGGUGUUUAGCCAAUGGAAGUGGGAGGCAAUAACA
rnacentral:rRNA from 1 species